rnacentral:misc_RNA from 1 species
UAAUCAAAAUCGGAGCGAUGCCUUUUGGGUGAAGCACCGGAGUUUGGGUCAUCUUAACUCUUUAAGAGACCUAAAAUUAACAUUCUUUUUUUGCUCACUUUGAGACGUACAUAAUUUUUUUUAUUCGUCUACCCUGGUGGCAAAAAUUUUAUUAGAUCGUGAAUCACGUAGAGUGGACUCGCGUCUAUAAUUAUCAUG